rnacentral:pre_miRNA from 1 species
CAUGUACCGGUGGGGUCCCUCGGCCUGGCCUGUGCCCUCUCACAAUCCAAGACCCCUCAGGGAAUGUUGGAGAGCCAGUUUUGUCCCGAUCCCGCAGGCCAGGCCGAGGGGCCCCACUGGUGCACG